rnacentral:rRNA from 1 species
UACAGGGGGUGCAAACGUUGCUCGGAAUCAUUGGGCGUAAAGCGCACGUAGGCGGAUUGUUAAGUCAGGGGUGAAAUCCUGGAGCUCAACUCCAGAACUGCCUUUGAUACUGGCGAUCUUGAGUCCGGGAGAGGUGAGUGGAACUGCGAGUGUAGAGGUGAAAUUCGUAGAUAUUCGCAAGAACACCAGUGGCGAAGGCGGCUCACUGGCCCGGUACUGACGCUGAGGUGCGAAAGCGUGGGGAGCAAACAGG